CCUACGGGUGGCAGCAGUGGGGAAUUUUGGACAAUGGGCGCAAGCCUGAUCCAGCUAUUCCGCGUGUGGGAAGACGGCCUUCGGGUUGUAAACCACUUUUGUAGAGAACGAAAAGUCUGUUGAUAAUACCGAUAGAUGAUGACGGUACUCUAAGAAUAAGCACCGGCUAACUACGUGCCAGCAGCCGCGGUAAUACGUAGGGUGCGAGCGUUAAUCGGAAUUACUGGGCGUAAAGGGUGUGCAGGCGGUUUUGCAAGAUGGAUGUGAACGCCCCGGGCUUAACCUGGGAAAGCCAUACAUGACUGCAAGACUAGAGUGCGGCAGAGGGGGGUGGAAUUCCGAGUGUAGCAGUGAAAUGCGUAGAUAUUUGGAAGAACACCGAUGGCGAAGGCAGCCCCCUGGGACGCAACUGACGCUCAUACACGAAAGCGUGGGGAGCAAACAGGAUUAGAUACCCCUGUAGUC
rnacentral:rRNA from 1 species